ACGUGCCAGCAGCCGCGGUAAAACGUAGGUCACAAGCGUUGUCCGGAAUUACUGGGUGUAAAGGGAGCGCAGGCGGGAAGACAAGUUGGAAGUGAAAUCCAUGGGCUCAACCCAUGAACUGCUUUCAAAACUGUUUUUCUUGAGUAGUGCAGAGGUAGGCGGAAUUCCCGGUGUAGCGGUGGAAUGCGUAGAUAUCGGGAGGAACACCAGUGGCGAAGGCAGCCUACUGGGCACCAACUGACGCUGAGGCUCGAAGGUGUGGGUAGCAAACAGGAUUAGAUACCCUGGUAGUCCACACCGUAAACGAUGAUUACUAGGUGUUGGAGGAUUGACCCCUUCAGUGCCGCAGUUAACACAAUAAGUAAUCCACCUGGGGAGUACGACCGCAAGGUUGCAACUCAAAUGAAUUGACGG
rnacentral:rRNA from 1 species